CAAGCGAGGACGUGUGGCGUCGCAUUUUGGAACACUCGCCAGUCUAUACAUGCUCGUCGUAGGAAGAGAGUGUGGGAGACGUCUGGACUAGCCCAUCAUCCAAAGCUGGCUCGUGAAAAAUUUGACUGCUGGUGCACAUCAGUGGCGCAUGGCUUCUGUUUCUUCUGAAAAGCGAGCUGCAGAGAGCCACCUGGUAGCUGUAUUCAAGGAGCACAAAGGUUCAGGGUGUUCAAAGUUAACCCUUUUGUUUUUCCUUAAAAGAGAA